rnacentral:rRNA from 1 species
GAAAGAAGGCCUGCGUCCCUUUACCACACCCUUUGUAUGUUUUAAGAAUGUUUACUUGAUGUAAUAAAACGCAUUUAAUACAACUUUCCACAACCGAUCUUUUGGCUCUUGCAUCGAUGAAGAACGCAGCGAAAUGCGAUAAGUAAUGUGAAUUGCCGAAUUCAGUGAAUCCUUGAAUUUUUGAACGCCCCCUGCGCCCUUUGGUAUUUCGAAGGGCCCCCCUGUUUGAGUGUUGUGAAAUUUUCAACCCUUCUUGCUUUUUUGGCGAGGGUUGGGAUUGGACUUGGAGGCUUUUGCCGGGCUCUCUCGCUCGGCUCCUCUCAAAUGCAUUAGUGCGUCUUGUUGCGACGUGCGCCUCGGUGUGAUAAUUAUCUACGCUGUGGUGUGCUUGCUUCCUGUGGAGACACGCUUUCGAACCGUCCGAAAGGACAGCUUUCAUCGAACUUUGACCUCAAAUCAGGUGGGACUACCCGCUGAACUUAAGCAUAUCAAUAAGCGGAGGAAAAGAAACUAACAAGGAUUCCCCUAGUAACUGCGAGUGAAGCGGGAAAAGCUCAAAUUUAAAAUCUGGCGGUCUUCUGGCCGUCCGAGUGUAGUCUGAGA